rnacentral:rRNA from 2 species
GUACGCUUCUUUUUCCACCGGAGCUUGCUCCACCGGAAAAAGAAGAGUGGCGAACGGGUGAGUAACACGUGGGUAACCUGCCCAUCAGAAGGGGAUAACACUUGGAAACAGGUGCUAAUACCGUAUAACAAUCGAAACCGCAUGGUUUUGAUUUGAAAGGCGCUUUCGGGUGUCGCUGAUGGAUGGACCCGCGGUGCAUUAGCUAGUUGGUGAGGUAACGGCUCACCAAGGCCACGAUGCAUAGCCGACCUGAGAGGGUGAUCGGCCACAUUGGGACUGAGACACGGCCCAAACUCCUACGGGAGGCAGCAGUAGGGAAUCUUCGGCAAUGGACGAAAGUCUGACCGAGCAACGCCGCGUGAGUGAAGAAGGUUUUCGGAUCGUAAAACUCUGUUGUUAGAGAAGAACAAGGAUGAGAGUAACUGUUCAUCCCUUGACGGUAUCUAACCAGAAAGCCACGGCUAACUACGUGCCAGCAGCCGCGGUAAUACGUAGGUGGCAAGCGUUGUCCGGAUUUAUUGGGCGUAAAGCGAGCGCAGGCGGUUUCUUAAGUCUGAUGUGAAAGCCCCCGGCUCAACCGGGGAGGGUCAUUGGAAACUGGGAGACUUGAGUGCAGAAGAGGAGAGUGGAAUUCCAUGUGUAGCGGUGAAAUGCGUAGAUAUAUGGAGGAACACCAGUGGCGAAGGCGGCUCUCUGGUCUGUAACUGACGCUGAGGCUCGAAAGCGUGGGGAGCAAACAGGAUUAGAUACCCUGGUAGUCCACGCCGUAAACGAUGAGUGCUAAGUGUUGGAGGGUUUCCGCCCUUCAGUGCUGCAGCUAACGCAUUAAGCACUCCGCCUGGGGAGUACGACCGCAAGGUUGAAACUCAAAGGAAUUGACGGGGGCCCGCACAAGCGGUGGAGCAUGUGGUUUAAUUCGAAGCAACGCGAAGAACCUUACCAGGUCUUGACAUCCUUUGACCACUCUAGAGAUAGAGCUUCCCCUUCGGGGGCAAAGUGACAGGUGGUGCAUGGUUGUCGUCAGCUCGUGUCGUGAGAUGUUGGGUUAAGUCCCGCAACGAGCGCAACCCUUAUUGUUAGUUGCCAUCAUUUAGUUGGGCACUCUAGCAAGACUGCCGGUGACAAACCGGAGGAAGGUGGGGAUGACGUCAAAUCAUCAUGCCCCUUAUGACCUGGGCUACACACGUGCUACAAUGGGAAGUACAACGAGUCGCGAAGUCGCGAGGCUAAGCUAAUCUCUUAAAGCUUCUCUCAGUUCGGAUUGUAGGCUGCAACUCGCCUACAUGAAGCCGGAAUCGCUAGUAAUCGCGGAUCAGCACGCCGCGGUGAAUACGUUCCCGGGCCUUGUACACACCGCCCGUCACACCACGAGAGUUUGUAACACCCGAAGUCGGUGAG